rnacentral:lncRNA from 1 species
GCCUAAAACACAUGGGAGGUUUGGGGAUUAGAUACCUUCAAAUUAUGAAUCAAUGUCUCCUAUUAAAAUGGUGGUGGAACUUCUACAACCAACAAGAACAACCUUGGAAAAAAUUAAUAUGGAGUAUUUACUACAAGAAUCGCCUACCAUUGCCUUCUCUCAGCACUUCUCGCCAUAUUGCAUCAUCCUUCUGAAAGGACGUUGUCUGACA